rnacentral:rRNA from 1 species
UACGGAGUGUGCAAGCGUUACUCGGAAUCACUGGGCAUAAAGCGCGCGUAGGCGGGUUUUCAAGUCGGUUGUGAAAUCCCUCAGCUCAACUGAGGAACUGCAUCCGAUACUGUCUGUCUUGAGGACGAGAGGGGGAAAGUGGAACUUCUGGUGGAGCGGUGAAAUGCGUAGAUAUCAGGAGGAACACCGGUGGUGUAGACGGCUUUCUGGACCGUAACUGACGCUGAGACACGAAAGCGUGGGUAGCAAACAGG